rnacentral:misc_RNA from 1 species
UUGAUAAGCGUGAGGUCGGAGGUUCAAGUCCUCCCAGGCCCACCAAUUUACUUAUCCAUUUGCCUUUAUCUGUUUAUUUGCCGAUUUAUCGGUCCAUUGAAUUUAAGUGUUGGUAGCAGUUUUAUAAUGAUGAGAAAUCAUGCUUAUAAAAGAACUCCUUAUAAAAGGCUUGUUUUUAAAAUGUGACGCUUAUCCAUUUCGCUUAGGCAAGAGAAACUUCAAGCGGUUCAAAUACAAAAGGCUUUAAGUUUUGCAAAACACUUUGAAUUUUGCGUAGCUCAGCUGGGA